rnacentral:rRNA from 1 species
GUGGCGACCGGCGCACGGGUGAGUAACGCGUAUGCAACCCAUUUAUCAGAGGGGAAUAACCCGGCGAAAGUCGGACUAAUACCGCAUAAAACAGGGACACCGCAUGGUGAUAUUUGUUAAAGAAAUUCGCUGAUAGAUGGGCAUGCGUUCCAUUAGGUAGUUGGUGAGGUAACGGCUCACCAAGCCGACGAUGGAUAGGGGAACUGAGAGGUUGGUCCCCCACACUGGUACUGAGACACGGACCAGACUCCUACGGGAGGCAGCAGUGAGGAAUAUUGGUCAAUGGGCGAGAGCCUGAACCAGCCAAGUCGCGUGAAGGAAGAAGGAUCUAUGGUUCGUAAACUUCUUUUGCAGGGGAAUAAAGUGCAGGACGUGUCCUGUUUUGUAUGUACCCUGAGAAUAAGGAUCGGCUAACUCCGUGCCAGCAGCCGCGGUAAUACGGAGGAUCCGAGCGUUAUCCGGAUUUAUUGGGUUUAAAGGGUGCGUAGGUGGUUUGAUAAGUCAGCGGUGAAAGUUUGCAGCUUAACUGUAAAAAUGCCGUUGAAACUGUCGGACUUGAGUGUAAAUGAGGUAGGCGGAAUGCGUGGUGUAGCGGUGAAAUGCUUAGAUAUCACGAAGAACUCCGAUUG